UGGGAAUUAAGUCAGUGCCUUUGCAAAUUAAAUCAUGGGGAGAGUUGCUGGUUUUGUAACAGUUUUCAAGAUCUGAAAUGUGUUUCAGGCUUCAUAGAAAGAAAACCACUGAGCCUUUCUUCAUACACAGAGAAUGGUGUGCCCGUGACCUUUUUUUCAGUGCAGAAGCUGAGGAGCUCAGCUAAGAACACAGACACAAAUUGCCUGGGAGAGGAGCUCUGAAGUUCCUGCCACAGCUCCUUGCUGCUCAGUCUCAGUUGUCUGCUGAAUGUAAGCUGCAUCUUCCAUCUCCCCCUGCUCCUUGACUGAAGUUUGAGGUGAGAUCCUUGUUUCUCAGCCCACCUUUGGACCCUGGGGCUUGGAGAGAAUUAACAUUGCUAUCACCUUUCCCUCAGCCACCAAAGUCAUCUGUGCCUUGAUCUGGAAAAUGUAUGUUCUCUAUCCUGGUCAAAUGCAGCAAAUGCCUUAAGCCUGAUGGUAAGUGCGUGUCCAUUCCCGUUGAAGUAAGAGCUUGGAUGCAGCUGUCCAAGGAUUCACCAUCCUUCCCCCACAUCUCUCUCUUUCCACCAUGAGACUCCAGAAAGUGCCAGGUUUUACUGCAGACCCACCCCUAGCCUGUGGUUUCUCUUAGGUCAGCUGGGCUGUCUCUCCUGCUCCUCCGUUUAAACCCCAUUUGUUUCACCAAAGCGUUUGUUAGCAUGAGUCAAAUAAACCAU